rnacentral:rRNA from 1 species
AUUGAACGCUGGCGGCAGGCCUAACACAUGCAAGUCGGACGGUAGCACAGAGGAGCUUGCUCCUCGGGUGACGAGUGGCGGACGGGUGAGUAAUGUCUGGGGAUCUGCCCGAUAGAGGGGGAUAACCACUGGAAACGGUGGCUAAUACCGCAUAACGUCGCAGGACCAAAGAGGGGGACCUUCGGGCCUCUCACUAUCGGAUGAACCCAGAUGGGAUUAGCUAGUAGGCGGGGUAACGGCCCACCUAGGCGACGAUCCCUAGCUGGUCUGAGAGGAUGACCAGCCACACUGGAACUGAGACACGGUCCAGACUCCUACGGGAGGCAGCAGUGGGGAAUAUUGCACAAUGGGCGCAAGCCUGAUGCAGCCAUGCCGCGUGUAUGAAGAAGGCCUUCGGGUUGUAAAGUACUUUCAGCGGGGAGGAAGGCGAUGUGGUUAAUAACCGCAUUGAUUGACGUUACCCGCAGAAGAAGCACCGGCUAACUCCGUGCCAGCAGCCGCGGUAA